rnacentral:rRNA from 1 species
UACAGGGGGUGCAAACGUUGCUCGGAAUUAUUGGGCGUAAAGCGCGCGUAGGCGGCUACUUAAGUCGGGUGUGAAAGCCCUGGGCUCAACCCAGGAAGUGCACUCGAAACUGCAAGGCUUGAGUACCGGAGAGGAUGGCGGAAUUCCCCAAGUAGAGGUGAAAUUCGUAGAUAUGGGGAGGAACACCGGUGGCGAAGGCGGCCAUCUGGACGGAUACUGACGCUGAGACGCGAAAGCGUGGGGAGCAAACAGG